rnacentral:rRNA from 1 species
AUUGAACGCUGGCGGAAGGCCUAACACAUGCAAGUCGAACGAGUGGCGGACGGGUGAGUAAUGUCUGGGAACCUGCCUGAUGGCGGGGGAUAACUACUGGAAACGGUAUCUAAUCCCGCCUACCAUCGUCUCUGCCCAGAUGGGAUUAGCUAGUAGGUGGGGUAAAGGCUCACCUAGGCGACGAUCCCUAGCUGGUCUGAUAGGCUGACCAGCCACACUGGAACUGAGACACGGUCCAGACUCCUACGGGAGGCAGCAGUGGGGAAUAUUGCACAAUGGGCGAAAGCCUGAUGCAGCCAGGCCGCGUGUAUGAAGAAGGCCUGCGGGUUGUAAAGUACUUUCAGCGGGGAGGCGUUACCCGCAGAAGAAGCACCGGCUAACUCCGUGCCAGCAGCCGCGGUAAUAC